rnacentral:lncRNA from 1 species
AAAGUAAAGAAAAGGUUCAUGAUGAACUUUGGGCAUAAACUUGAUGUAUGGUUCAUGAGAUUUGGUGUAUAGGAUUUGGUAUAUGGGAUUUGGUUCAUAGUUCAUUAGGUUUGGUUUAUGGUUCAUGAACGUGGUGUAUAGUUUAUGGGGUUUGGUUUGUUUGGUUCAUGUAUGGAAUUGGUGUAUGGUUUAUGAAAUUUGGUUCAUGAACUUGGUUCAUGGUUCAUGGGGUUAGGUUUGUUUGGUUCAUAAACUUGGGUAUAGUUCUUAGUGUACGAUUCAUGGACUUGGUGUAUGGUUCAUGAGAUUUGGUUCAUGAACUUGGUUCAUGGUUCAUGGUUCAUAACAUUUAGGUAUUGAUUCAUGUGAUUUGGUGUAUAGGAUUUUUGUUAUAUGGUAUUUGGUUCAUGGUUCAUAAGGUUUGGUAUAUGGUUUAUGGAAUUUGGUUUAUGAGAUUUCGUUCAUGAACUUGGGUAUGAUUUGGUUUAUGAGACUUGAUUCAUGAACUUGGGUAUGGUGUGGUUCAUGAACUUGAGUAUGGUUCAUGAGAUUUGGUUCAUGAACUUGGAUAAAGUUCAUGAACUCGG